GUAUCAGAAGUGCGAAUGCUGACAUGAGUAACGAUAAUGCGGGUGAAAAACCCGCACGCCGGAAGACCAAGGGUUCCUAUCCCAUGUUAAUCAGGGUAGGGUAAGUCGACCCCUAAGGCGAGGCCGAAAGGCGUAGUCGAUGGGAAACGGGUUAAUAUUCCCGUACUUGGUAUAAUUGCGAUGGGGGGACGGAGCAGGCUAAGCAAGCAUGGCGUUGGUAGUCCAUGUGAAAGUGAGUAGGUUGGUGACUUAGGAAAAUCCGGGUUGCUAAGACUGAGACACGAGACGAGCCACUAAGGUGGUGAAGUUGCUGAUGCCAUACUUCCAGGAAAAGCCUCUAAGCUUCAGAUUAUACCGAAUCGUACCCCAAACCGACACAGGUGGUCAGGUAGAGAAUACUAAGGCGCUUGAGAGAACUCGGGUGAAGGAACUAGGCAAAAUCGUACCGUAACUUCGGGAGAAGGUACGCUCCUAUCUGUGAUGAGAUUUACUCUCUAAGCGGACGGGAGCCGCAGUGACCAGGUGGCUGGGACUGUUUAUUAAAAACACAGCACUGUGCAAAAUCGCAAGAUGACGUAUACGGUGUGACACCUGCCCGGUGCCGGAAGGUUAAUUGAUGGGGUUAGUUUUCGGACGAAGCUCUUGAUCGAAGCCCCGGUAAACGGCGGCCGUAACUAUAACGGUCCUAAGGUAGCGAAAUUCCUUGUCGGGUAAGUUCCGACCUGCACGAAUGGUGUAACCAUGGCCACGCUGUCUCCACCCGAGACUCAGUGAAAUUGAAAUCGCAGUGAAGAUGCUGUGUACCCGCGGCUAGACGGAAAGACCCCGUGAACCUUUACUACAGCUUGGCACUGAACAUUGAACCUACAUGUGUAGGAUAGGUGGGAGACUUAGAAGAUGAGACGCUAGUCUUGUUGGAGUCGUCCUUGAAAUACCACCCUUGUAGUUUUGAUGUUCUAACGUUGGCCCCUGAAUCGGGGUUACGGACAGUGCCUGGUGGGUAGUUUGACUGGGGCGGUCUCCUCCCAAAGAGUAACGGAGGAGCACGAAGGUUGGCUAAGUACGGUCGGACAUCGUACGGUUAGUGUAAUGGUAGAAGCCAGCUUAACUGCGAGACAGACACGUCGAGCAGGUACGAAAGUAGGUCAUAGUGAUCCGGUGGUUCUGAAUGGAAGGGCCAUCGCUCAACGGAUAAAAGGUACUCCGGGGAUAACAGGCUGAUACCGCCCAAGAGUUCAUAUCGACGGCGGUGUUUGGCACCUCGAUGUCGGCUCAUCACAUCCUGGGGCUGAAGUCGGUCCCAAGGGUAUGGCUGUUCGCCAUUUAAAGUGGUACGCGAGCUGGGUUUAGAACGUCGUGAGACAGUUCGGUCCCUAUCUGCCGUGGGCGUUUGAGAAUUGAGAGGGGUUGCUCCUAGUACGAGAGGACCGGAGUGAACGAACCGCUGGUGUUCGGGUUGUCAUGCCAAUGGCAUUGCCCGGUAGCUACGUUCGGAACUGAUAAGCGCUGAAAGCAUCUAAGCGCGAAGCAGGCCUCGAGAUGAGUUCUCACUAGACUUUU
rnacentral:rRNA from 1 species